AGCUGCACAAGUGCUUUCUGGGACAUGGCCAGAGCCCUUCCACCACCUUCCCAUAGUCAGGCAAUUGCUCUGGCUGCUUCUGCUGCUUCAAGCUCUGAUAAUGGAAAUGAACCAGGAUGAAAGAAAAGUGGUGCCUUGAUGGUAAAAAGGAAAUUGCUGCAGGAGGUUGUAGGAGAUGGUGGCUUCAAGCUGUUGCAAACACCCUUUGGAUCAUCACUGCUGCAACUGCCCAACACCAGGUCACAUAGGAAGCUGCCUUAAGGUUAGUCAGAGUCCUGGCCCAUCCAAGUCAGUACUGUCUACACUGAUUGGAACUGUCUGUCCAGGGUUUCAGAGAAGGAGUCUUAACCAGCUCCAUCUGGACAUGCUAGGGACUCAACCUGGGACAUUCUACCAUGUUCUCUGCCACUGAGCUAUCACCUUUCUUCAAGCAGGAGGUACACAGGAAACUGCUUUACAUAGUCAGACUGUUGGGCCAUCUAGCUCCAUAUCAUCUACACCAGGAAUAGGAAACUUGUGGCCUUCUGUAUGUUGUCAGACUACAUCAGCCCUGACCCCUGGACAUUCUGCCUGGGGAUGGUGGGAAUUCAACUGUAACAAGUUUUGGAGGCGCACAAGGUCUGCAUUCCUGGUGUCCACUGACUGCUGGAAGCUCUCCAGGGUUUUAGACAUGAGAGAUGCUGGGGAUAGAACUAGAGACCUUCUACAUGCAGAGUAUUUGCUCUACCACUGAGCCAUUGAUCAUAAAACACUAGACUGAGAGUCUCCCUUAAUCCUGGAAUUGACUCUGCCAGGCCACUCUCUACUUCAAACAUAAGCAGGAAACCAGUGCACAAAGAAGGACAUGUCACUUGGCUCUCACUUUAGCACCAUCUUCACCAAUCAGCUGUUUUGGAUUCCAACUCCCAAUAUCCCCAGGCAGCAUGUGGCUGGUUGGUGAAGCCUGGCCUGGCACCUCAAGCAUCAGAAAGCUCUUAAGACCUACAUAAGGGUGUAGGGGCAUUCCGUCCAGAACCUAAAAUUGUCUAUGUUGUUAGCCCAGAUUACUUCUCUUAGGCUCUAAAACACCCUGAUGCUGUGGGUGUUUUCCCAUAUUGCAACAGGAAACAAACAGAAAU